GGAAUAAACACAAUUUGAAUGUGUUUCCUGUUUUAUCAUAGGCACUUCCUGUUGCAACAAGACCUGCUAGUAUCAAGUAGUUAAUUGUCACCCGGUGUGUCUUUUUGUGUUUCCUGUCAAGCGAGCCUACAUUGGACACAUGUUUGUUUUGGAGUCAGGCCUAUCUAGGCCACACUGACUGUACCCUGUGGUGUCCCAGGGGGUGGCGAGCAGAACAAACACACCAAGAAGCUGCACCAGCGCCGCCAUCGCUGUGCUCUGCACCGUAUGAAGGGACAAGGAGUGGAGAAGAAAGUGGUGCUGCACGGACGUCUGUACGGGAACAUUCCAGAGACACCUCCCAGAAGACCUUUGAGCCGGUGACUUAACUGAUGAUUUACCACCAACAACCUGCAGAAACCGUUUUGAGAGUAGGUGACGCA